rnacentral:rRNA from 1 species
CGGGGUGCAGCAGGCGCGAAAACUUUACAAUGCCGGCAACGGCGAUAAGGGAACCUCGAGUGCCAGGUUACAAAUCUGGCUGUCGUGAUGCCUAAAAAGCAUUGCAUAGCAAGGGCCGGGCAAGACCGGUGCCAGCCGCCGCGGUAACACCGGCGGCUCGAGUGGUAACCGUUAUUAUUGGGUCUAAAGGGUCUGUAGCCGGCCGGAUAAGUCUCUUGGGAAAUCUGGCAGCUUAACUGUCAGGCUUUCAGGAGAUACUGUCUGGCUCGAGGCCGGGAGAGGUGAGAGGUACUUCAGGGGUAGGGGUGAAAUCUUGUAAUCCUUGAAGGACCACCAGUGGCGAAGGCGUCUCACCAGAACGGACCUGACGGCAAGGGACGAAAGCUAGGGGCACGAACCGGAUUAGAUACCCGGGUAGUCCUAGCCGUAAACGAUACUCGCUAGGUGUCGGCCACGGUGCGACCGUGGUCGGUGCCGUAGGGAAGCCGUGAAGCGAGCCACUUGGGAAGUACGGCCGCAAGGCUGAAACUUAAAGGAAUUGGCGGGGGAGCACAAGGGCGAAUU